rnacentral:lncRNA from 1 species
AUUUGCUUGCUGGCAACCAUGUGAGAUGGGACUUUCUCCUCCUUGACUUUCGCCAUGAUUGUGAGGCCUUCCCAGCCAUGUGGAACUCUUCUUUCGUGGCAAUUUUCCCCCAGGAGGGAUUUCCCUGCAGUGGACCUCCUCCCCAGUGGUACCUUCAGCCAUCAGAACACCUCGCUUUAGAUCUGUGGGUCCCAAAUUUCAUCAAAUCCAAUGACCAUUUCUAUGCUGGAAUUCUGUGAAGCACAUGACCUCAAGUCUUUGGAUAAAUGGAAACGCAGCUUAUGCCGGAAAGAUGGAAGGCUGGCUGUACUAAUAUCAGAAAUGGAAGAGGAGAGACAUCACUAGAGAUCCCAUGGAUAUUGAAAGGAUAAUAAAGGAGUAUUAUGAGCAUU